rnacentral:lncRNA from 13 species
AGGAAAAAACGUUUUUAUUCUUAUGUGAUUUUUUUUUAAAGAUCCCUGUAGCUUCACUAUCCUUAGGAAAAGACUUUCCCAUUUCUAAGUUACUGCUCAGUGUCAGGCAUCUGGGCCCAUGCACUGCAUUCCAGACUAGCUGCAUUCCUGGUGAAGCCAGUGAUUCAGCUGAGCAUGCCCCGCGCCAGCCCUGGGUGCAGCUAUUCUGUGCUUUAUUCUAGACUCAACAUCCAUCCAGACUGACCACAGGGCAAUCAGUUUCAGUUCCUUUUUCUUAUCCAGCUCAGUCGUGGGGCAGAUGGGGCCACCUCACAAUGCGAUGAGGAUGAGGAUGCAAGCAAAGUAUUCUAUAAACUGCUUCUUCAAUUUUCUCAGUGCCUCUGAAAAAAGAAAGGAAGAAAAAGAAGGAAAAGAAGAAAGAAAAUGAGAGAGAAAGAAAGAAAAAAAGAAUAAAAGAGAGAAAGAGGAAGAGAAAGAGGGUGAG